GCUAAUGUAGCUCAGUUGGUAGAGCAGCUGAUUCGUAAUCAGCAGGUCAAGGGUUCGAGUCCCUUCAUUAGCU
rnacentral:tRNA from 1 species